rnacentral:rRNA from 1 species
CGGCGGACGGGUGAGUAACACGUGGAUAACCUACCUAUAAGACUGGGAUAACUUCGGGAAACCGGAGCUAAUACCGGAUAAUAUAUUGAACCGCAUGGUUCAAUAGUGAAAGACGGUUUUGCUGUCACUUAUAGAUGGAUCCGCGCCGCAUUAGCUAGUUGGUAAGGUAACGGCUUACCAAGGCAACGAUGCGUAGCCGACCUGAGAGGGUGAUCGGCCACACUGGAACUGGGACACGGUCCAG